rnacentral:rRNA from 1 species
AUUGAACGCUGGCGGCAGGCAUAACACAUGCAAGUCGAGCGAGCGGCGGACGGGUGAAUAAUGCCUGGGAAUUGCCCAGUCGAGGGGGAUAAAAGUUGGAAACGACUGCUAAUACCGCAUAGGAAGGGAUUUCCCAGGUGGGAUUAGCGAGUUGGUGAGGUAAUGACUCACCAAGGCGACGAUCCCUAGGUGGUCUGAGAGGAUGAUCAGCCACACUGGAACUGAGACACGGUCCAUACUCCUAGGGGAGGCAGCAGUGGGGAAUAUUGGACAAUGGGGGAAACCCUGAUGCACGCAUGCCGCGUGUGUGAAGAAGGCCUUCGGGUUGUAAAGCACUUUCAGCGAGGAGGCGUUACUCGCAGAAGAAGCACCGGCUAACUCCGUGCCAGCAGCCGCGGUAAUUC